CCUACGGGGGGCAGCAGUGGGGGAUAUUGCACAAUGGGGGGAACCCUGAUGCAGCGACGCCGCGUGGGUGAAGGAGUGUUUCGGCGCGUAAAGCCCUAUCCGCAGGGAAGAAGAUGACGGUACCUGACCAAGAAUCCCCGGCUAAGUACGUGCCAGCAGCCGCCGUGAUACGUAGGGGGCAAGCGUUAUCCGGCUUUACUGGGUGUAAAGGGGGCGCAGACGGCAAUGCAAGCCAGGAGUGAAAGCCACGGGCGCAACCCCGGGACUGCUCUUGGAACUGCAUGGCUGGAGUACAGGAGGGGCAGGCGGAAUUCCGAGUGUAGCGGUGAAAGGCGUAGAUAUAAGGAGGAACACCGGUGGCGAAGGCGGACUGCUGGACUGUGACUGACGUUGAGGCCCGAAGGCGUGGGGAGCAAACAGGAUUAGAUACCCCGGUAGUC
rnacentral:rRNA from 1 species